rfam:Prevotella sp. CAG:1058 genomic scaffold, scf380
GACCGUAUUGGUUCGAUCGGGAUACUCAUCAAUAAAAAAACGAAAACCGAGAUGACUUCUCUUGUCAAUGGCGGGCCACAAUGUCGCAAGACAUAGCUGUAAAGCCGGUGGAUUACAAAGGCGGAGAGCUCUCAAAUCUUAUAUAGCUCGGAGUUUUCAUCACAUCACUGGUACGGUCUUUUUU